rnacentral:misc_RNA from 1 species
UUUCCGUAGGUGAACCUGCGGAAGGAUCAUUACCGAGUUAGGGUUGCCUUCUAGGUGCCCGACCUCCCAACCCUUUGUCUAUGAUACCACAGUUGCUUCGGCGGACCGAGGGGUCAUACCCUCGCCUGGUCGACCUGGCCGGGAGAGUCUGUCCGUCGACGGCCUCAACUUAACACUUGAACCCAAAACCUGUCGUCUGAAAACAUUUUUAUGAUUUAUAAUCAAAAACAAAAACUUUCAACAACGGAUCUCUUGGUUCUGGCAUCGAUGAAGAACGCAGC